GGUAGUAGUAGUGGUAUGGGUAGUAAUGGUAAUGAUAACAGUUUAGUGAUGGUGGUGGUAGUAGUAGUAGUGGUAUGGGUAGUAAUGGUAAUGAUAACAGUUUAGUGAUGUGGUGGUGGUAGUAGUAGUAGUGGUAUGGGUAGUAAUGGUAAUGAUAGCAGUUUAGUGAUGGUAGUGGUAGUAGUAGUAGUGGUAUGGGUAGUAAUGGUAAUGAUAACAGUUUAGUGAUGGUGGUGGUAGUAGUAGUAGUGGUAUGGGUAGUAAUGGUAAUGAUAACAGUUUAGUGAUGUAGUAGUGGUAGUAGUGGUAUGGGUGGUAAUGGUAAUGAUAGCAGUUUAGUGAUGGUGGUAGUAGUAGUAGUGGUAUGGGUGGUAAUGGUAAUGAUAACAGUUUAGUGAUGGUGGUGGUAGUAGUAGUAGUGGUAUGGGUAGUAAUGGUAAUGAUAACAGUUUAGUGAUGGUGGUGGUGGUAGUAGUAGUGGUAUGGGUAGUAAUGGUAAUGAUAGCAGUUUAGUGGUGGUAGUAGUGGUAGUAGUAGUAGUGGUAUGGGUAGUAAUGGUAAU
rnacentral:lncRNA from 1 species